rnacentral:rRNA from 1 species
GACGAACGCUGGCGGCGUGCUUAACACAUGCAAGUCGAGCGGAAAGGCCCUGCUUUUGUGGGGUGCUCGAGUGGCGAACGGGUGAGUAACACGUGAGUAACCUGCCCUUGACUUUGGGAUAACUUCAGGAAACUGGGGCUAAUACCGGAUAGGAGCUCCUGCUGCAUGGUGGGGGUUGGAAAGUUUCGGCGGUUGGGGAUGGACUCGCGGCUUAUCAGCUUGUUGGUGGGGUAGUGGAUUACCAAGGCUUUGACGGGUAGCCGGCCUGAGAGGGUGACCGGCCACAUUGGGACUGAGAUACGGCCCAGACUCCUACGGGAGGCAGCAGUGGGGAAUAUUGCACAAUGGGCGGAAGCCUGAUGCAGCAACGCCGCGUGCGGGAUGACGGCCUUCGGGUUGUAAACCGCUUUCGCCUGUGACGAAGCGUGAGUGACGGUAAUGGGUAAAGAAGCACCGGCUAACUACGUG